GACAGAGGGUGCAAACGUUGUUCGGAAUUACUGGGCGUAAAGCGCGUGUAGGUGGCGAGGCAAGUCGGGUGUGAAAGCCCUGGGCUCAACCCAGGAAGUGCACUCGAUACUGCCUAGCUAGAGUCCCGGAGAGGUUGGUGGAACUCUCGGGUGUAGAGGUGAAAUUCGUAGAUAUCGAGAAGAACACCGGUGGCGAAGGCGGCCAACUGGACGGUGACUGACACUGAGACGCGAAAGCGUGGGGAGACAAACAGGAUUAAGUG
rnacentral:rRNA from 1 species